rnacentral:rRNA from 1 species
GAUGAACGCUAGCUACAGGCUUAACACAUGCAAGUCGAGGGACCGGCGCACGGGUGAGUAACACGUAUCCAACCUGCCCUUUACUCGGGGAUAGCCUUUCGAAAGAAAGAUUAAUACCCGAUAUAAAGGAUGGGGAUGCGUUCCAUUAGGUUGUUGGUGAGGUAACGGCUCACCAAGCAUUCGAUGGAUAGGGGUUCGGAGAGGAAGGGCCCCCACAGUGGAACUGAGACACAGUCUAAACUCGUACGCGAAGCAGGAGAUAGGAACAUAGGUCAAUGGGCGCUAGCCUGAACCAGCCAAGUAGCGUGAAGGAGGAAGGCUUAUGGGUCGUAAACUUCUUUGAUAUAAGAAUAGGUAUUAUAUGAAUAAGGAUCGGCUAACUCCGUGCCAGCAGCCGCGGUAAUUC